ACGGAGGGGGCUAGCGUUGUUCGGAAUUACUGGGCGUAAAGCGCACGUAGGCGGCUUUGUAAGUUAGAGGUGAAAGCCCGGAGCUCAACUCCGGAAUUGCCUUUAAGACUGCAUCGCUCGAAUCAUGGAGAGGUGAGUGGAAUUCCGAGUGUAGAGGUGAAAUUCGUAGAUAUUCGGAGGAACACCAGUGGCGAAGGCGGCUCACUGGUCCAUUACUGACGCUGAGGUGCGAAAGCGUGGGGAGCAAACAGGA
rnacentral:rRNA from 1 species